rnacentral:rRNA from 1 species
AACGAGGUGCUUUUGUAGCAAUACGAGAGUAUCCUAGUGGCGAACGGGUGAGUAACGCGUUGGUGACCUACCCCAAAGUGUGGAAUAACAGUCCGAAAGGAUUGCUAAUACCGCAUGUGGUUAUCGGGCUUAGAAUCUGAUAACUAAAGGAGCAAUUCGCUUUGGGAGGGACCUGCGUCCCAUCAGCUAGUUGGUGAGGUAAUGGCUCACCAAGGCUACGACGGGUAGGGGACCUGAGAGGGUGACCCCCCACAAUGGAACUGAAACACGGUCCAUACACCUACGGGUGGCAGCAGUAGGGAAUAUUGCACAAUGGGCGAAAGCCUGAUGCAGCAACGCCGCGUGUGCGAUGAAGGCCUUCGGGUCGUAAAGCACUUUUCUGAGAGAUGAGAAAGGACAGUAUCUCAGGAAUAAGUCUCGGCUAACUACGUGCCAGCAGCCGCGGUAAAACGUAGGAGGCGAGCGUUAUCCGGAUUCACUGGGCGUAAAGCGCGUGCAGGUGGUUCGGUAAGUUGGGCGUGAAAUCU